CGGGGUGCAGCAGGCGCGAAAACUUUACAAUGCGGGAAACCGUGAUAAGGGGACACCGAGUGCCAGCAUCAUAUGCUGGCUGUCCAGGUGUGUAAAAUACACCUGUCAGCAAGGGCCGGGCAAGACCGGUGCCAGCCGCCGCGGUAACACCGGCGGCCCGAGUGGUGAUCGUGAUUAUUGGGUCUAAAGGGUCCGUAGCCGGUUUGGUCAGUCCUCCGGGAAAUCUGACGGCUCAACCGUUAGGCUUUCGGGGGAUACUGCCAGGCUUGGAACCGGGAGAGGUAAGAGGUACUACAGGGGUAGGAGUGAAAUCUUGUAAUCCCUGUGAGACCACCUGUGGCGAAGGCGUCUUACCAGAACGGGUUCGACGGUGAGGGACGAAAGCUGGGGGCACGAACCGGAUUAGAUACCCGGGUAGUCCCAGCCGUAAACGAUGCUCGCUAGGUGUCAGGCAUGGCGCGACCGUGUCUGGUGCCGCAGGGAAGCCGUGAAGCGAGCCACCUGGGAAGUACGGCCGCAAGGCGGAAACUUAAAGGAAUUGGCGGGGGAGCAC
rnacentral:rRNA from 1 species